GACGUAGGGCGCAAGCGUUGUCCGGAUUUAUUGGGCGUAAAGAGCUCGUAGGCGGCUUGUUGCGUCGACCGUGAAAACCCGUGGCUCAACUGCGGGCUUGCGGUCGAUACGGGCGGGCUAGAGUUCGGUAGGGGAGACUGGAAUUCCUGGUGUAGCAGUGAAAUGCGCAGAUAUCAGGAGGAACACCGGUGGCGAAGGCGGGUCUCUGGGCCGAUAUUGACGCUGAGGAGCGAAAGCGUGGGGAGCAAACAGG
rnacentral:rRNA from 1 species